rnacentral:rRNA from 1 species
UAAGGAAUAUUGGACAAUGGUCGCAAGACUGAUCCAGCCAUGCCGCGUGCAGGAAGACGGCCCUAUGGGUUGUAAACUGCUUUUGUACCAGAGAAAACCUAUCUACGUGUAGAUAGCUGAUAGUAUGGUAAGAAUAAGCAUCGGCUAACUUCGUGCCAGCAGCCGCGGUAAGACGAAGGAUGCAAGCGUUAUCCGGAUUCAUUGGGUUUAAAGGGUGCGUAGGCGGGCUUGUAAGUCAGUGGUGAAAUCUCUCAGCUUAACUGAGAAACUGCCAUUGAUACUGCAGGCCUAGAGUAUAGAUGACGUUGGCGGAAUAUGACAUGUAGUGGUGAAAUACUUAGAUAUGUCAUAGAACACCGAUUGCGAAGGCAGCUAACGAAACUAUAACUGACGCUGAGGCACGAAAGCGCGGGGAUCAAACA